rnacentral:tRNA from 1 species
CAGAGAAUAGUUUAAAAAAAUAUUAGUUUUGGGAAUUAAAGUUAAAGAAAAAUUCUUUUUCUCUGA